rnacentral:rRNA from 1 species
CAGUAGCCGCGGUAAUACGAAGGGUGCAAGCGUUACUCGGAAUUACUGGGCGUAAAGCGUGCGUAGGUGGUGGUUUAAGUCCGUUGUGAAAGCCCUGGCUCAACCUGGGAAUUGCAGUGGAUACUGGGUCACUAGAGUGUGGUAGAGGAUAGUGGAAUUUCCGGUGUAGCAGUGAAAUGCGUAGAGAUCGGAGGGAACAUCUGUGGCGAAGGCGACUAUCUGGGCCAACACUGACACUGAGGCACGAAAGCGUGGGGAGCAAACAGGAUUAGAUACCCGAGUAGUCCCUGUCUCUUAUACC